UCACAUUUUUCUAUUCAGAUAUGGCAUGAAGGAUUUUUCAUGGGCAUGGGAGAAGUAAAAAGUGCUAUGAAGGCCAAAAUAUUUGGUCUAAUCACAUAGAUAAGAACACAUGGGUACCUUCAGUAGUUGAUGAUCUGACCUAUUAAUAAUAUCACUUUUUGUAGUAAUUUUAUUAUUUUUAAUGGCCUAACAUAUGAAUUCAGUGCCGAGAGCCAGUUGUUG
rnacentral:lncRNA from 1 species